GAUGAACGCUGACAGAAUGCUUAACACAUGCAAGUCGAUUCGAUUUACCUUCGGGUAUUGAGGAUGGCGGACGGGUGAGUAACGCGUAAGGAACUUGCCUCUUGGUCUGGGACAACUGUUGGAAACGACAGCUAAUACCGGAUAUUAUGAGAUUCUCGCAUGGGAAACUUAUGAAAGCUAUAUGCGCCAAGAGAGAGCCUUGCGUUCCAUUAGCUAGUUGGUGGGGUAACGGCCCACCAAGGCGACGAUGGAUAGCCGGCCUGAGAGGGUGAACGGCCACAAGGGGACUGAGACACGGCCCUUACUCCUACGGGAGGCAGCAGUGGGGAAUAUUGGACAAUGGGCCACAAGCCUGAUCCAGCAAUUCUGUGUGCACGAUGAAGGUCUUCGGAUUGUAAAGUGCUUUCAGUUGGGAAGAAGAAAGUGACGGUACCAACAGAAGAAGCGACGGCUAAAUACGUGCCAGCAGCCGCGGUAAUACGUAUGUCGCAAGCGUUAUCCGGAUUUAUUGGGCGUAAAGCGCGUCUAGGCGGAAAAAUAAGUCUGAUGUUAAAAUGCGGGGCUCAACUCCGUAUUGCGUUGGAAACUGUUUUUCUAGAGUACUGGAGAGGUGGGCGGAACUACAAGUGUAGAGGUGAAAUUCGUAGAUAUUUGUAGGAAUGCCGAUGGAGAAGUCAGCUCACUGGNNAGANACUGACGCUAAAGCGCGAAAGCNUGGGGAGCAAACAGGAUUAGAUACCCUGGUAGUCCACG
rnacentral:rRNA from 1 species